UGGGACAUUAACCCUGCAGCAUGGUGACUGAUGUCUGUCGUAUCCAGGUUACACAGGAGUCAAGUGGAGGAAAGCUUUGGAGUGUGUGUGUGUGUGUGUAAACUUUAAAAAAGAAAGAAAGAAAUGAAAUAAAAGUGUCACGGAGACAAACGAGAGACAGAAAAAGUGGAAGAUAGAGCAGAAGGAGCCGACGCAGGGCAGUCUGCUCUCAGAGAGGAUUAUGGGGCUUAAGUGUACCGGAGGCAGAGAGACACCAAACACUGACACUGAGAAGAGACUCAUGGCUCCAGGUGAUGACCCGCUCCAUCGCACAACAUCACUGACGAGGGCUUUUUAACAGAAAGCACCAGGUGUGUUUUCUCUCGAGCCACAGCUGAGAGACCAGGAGGAAGAUCUGGAGAUGUCGUCAGCAUCGCUAAGCUUGUGGUGCAAACACACACACACACACACA